UGAGCAGUAUUGUUUAAAAUGGAUUGAACGAGAGAGUUUGAUCCUGGCUCAGAUUGAACGCUGGCGGCAUGCCUAACACAUGCAAGUCGAACGGUAGCAGGCCUUCGGGUGCUGACGAGUGGCGGACGGGUGAGUAAUGCGUAGGAAUCUGUCUUUUAGUGGGGGACAACCCAGGGAAACUUGGGCUAAUACCGCAUGAGCCCUGAGGGGGAAAGCGGGGGAUCUUCGGACCUCGCGCUAAAGNGAAGAGCCUACGUCUGAUUAGCUAGUUGGUAGGGUAAAGGCUACCAAGGCGACGAUCAGUAGCUGGUCUGAGAGGACGACCAGCCACACUGGGACUGAGACACGG
rnacentral:rRNA from 1 species